AUUGAACGCUGGCGGCAGGCCUAACACAUGCAAGUCGAGCGGUAGCACAGAGAGCUUGCUCUCGGGUGACGAACGGCGGACGGGUGAGUAAUGUCUGGGAAACUGCCUGAUGGAGGGGGAUAACUACUGGAAACGGUAGCUAAUACCGCAUAACGUCGCAAGACCAAAGUGGGGGACCUUCGGGCCUCAUGCCAUCAGAUGUGCCCAGAUGGGAUUAGCUGGUAGGUGGGGUAACGGCUCACCUAGACGACGAUCCCUAGCUGGUCUGAGAGGAUGACCAGCCACACUGGAACUGAGACACGGUCCAGACUCCUACGGGAGGCAGCAGUGGGGAAUAUUGCACAAUGGGCGCAAGCCUGAUGCAGCCAUGCCGCGUGUGUGAAGAAGGCCUUCGGGUUGUAAAGCACUUUCAGCGGGGAGGAAGGCGGUGAGGUUAAUAACCUCAUCGAUUGACGUUACCCGCAGAAGAAGCACCGGCUAACUCCGUGCCAGCCGCCGCCGUAA
rnacentral:rRNA from 1 species